rnacentral:rRNA from 1 species
CCUGGCGGCGAGUGGCGAACGGGUGAGUAAUAUAUCGGAACGUACCCUGGAGUGGGGGAUAACGUAGCGAAAGUUACGCUAAUACCGCAUACGAUCUAAGGAUGAAAGUGGGGGAUUCGCAAGAACCUCAUGCUCCUGGAGCGGCCGAUAUCUGAUUAGCUAGUUGGUGGGGUAAAGGCCUACCAAGGCAUCGAUCAGUAGCUGGUCUGAGAGGACGACCAGCCACACUGGAACUGAGACACGGUCCAGACUCCUACGGGAGGCAGCAGUGGGGAAUUUUGGACAAUGGGCGAAAGCCUGAUCCAGCAAUGCCGCGUGAGUGAAGAAGGCCUUCGGGUUGUAAAGCUCUUUUGUCAGGGAAGAAACGGUGAAAGCUAAUAUCUCUUGCUAAUGACGGUACCUGAAGAAUAAGCACCGGCUAACUACGUGCCAGCAGCCGCGGUAAUACGUAGGGUGCAAGCGUUAAUCGGAAUUACUGGGCGUAAAGCGUGCGCAGGCGGUUUUGUAAGUCUGUCGUGAAAUCCCCGGGCUCAACCUGGGAAUUGCGAUGGAGACUGCAAGGCUAGAAUCUGGCAGAGGGGGGUAGAAUUCCACGUGUAGCAGUGAAAUGCGUAGAGAUGUGGAGGAACACCGAUGGCGAAGGCAGCCCCCUGGGUCAAGAUUGACGCUCAUGCACGAAAGCGUGGGGAGCAAACAGGAUUAGAUACCCUGGUAGUCCACGCCCUAAACGAUGUCUACUAGUUGUCGGGUUUUAAUUAACUUGGUAACGCAGCUAACGCGUGAAGUAGACCGCCUGGGGAGUACGGUCGCAAGAUUAAAACUCAAAGGAAUUGACGGGGACCCGCACAAGCGGUGGAUGAUGUGGAUUAAUUCGAUGCAA